AAUAUGUACAGAUGUGUCCAUGAUGGAGGAGAAUAGCAUUGUCACUUUUUCUGUCUUCUCAAUCACCUUCUCCCUCUGCAGAAACCUGUGUCCCCAAUGGCACUCCCAGUGACCCUCAAAUGGACCCUAAUGCCAUCCUUUGAGAUGAAAGAGGACUCUCAAAAACUGACCCUCUCUCAACUCUUGCCUGGCUCCUGGCACAAGUGCUCCAUAUCAUCACUUACUGUUUUAGCAAUGAAGUCUAUUGAGGAUUGCAAGGCUCCCUCUGCUCCUAUCCCCCACUUGCUC